UGGGACUGAGACACGGCCCAGACUCCUACGGGAGGCAGCAGUGGGGAAUAUUGCGCAAUGGGCGAAAGCCUGACGCAGCGACGCCGCGUGAGGGAUGACGGCCUUCGGGUUGUAAACCUCUUUCAGCAGGGACGAAGCGCAAGUGACGGUACCUGCAGAAGAAGCACCGGCCAACAACGUGCCAGCAGCCGCGGUAAUACGUAGGGUGCAAGCGUUGUCCGGAAUUAUUGGGCGUAAAGAGCUCGUAGGCGGCCUGUCGCGUCGGCUGUGAAAACCCGGGGCUCAACCCCGGGCCUGCAGUCGAUACGGGCAGGCUAGAGUCCGGUAGGGGAGACUGGAAUUCCUGGUGUAGCGGUGAAAUGCGCAGAUAUCAGGAGGAACACCGGUGGCGAAGGCGGGUCUCUAGGCUGUAACUGACGCUGAGGCACGAAAGUGUGGGGAUCAAACAGGAUUAGAUACCCUGGUAGUCCACGCCUUAAACGAUGAGAGCUAGUUGUCAGUAAGCAUGCUUAUUGGUGACGCAGCUAACGCAUUAAGCGCCCCGCCUGGGGAGUACGGCCGCAAGGCAAAAACUCAAAGGAAUUGACGGAAGGGCACCACCAGGAGUGGAGCCUGCGGCUUAAUUUGACCCAACACGGGGAAACUCACCAGGUCCAGACAUGACUAGGAUUGACAGAUUGAUAGCUCUUUCAUGAUUUCAUGGGUGGUGGUGCAUGGCCGUUCUUAGUUGGUGGAGUGAUUUGUCUGGUUAAUUCCGAUAACGAACGAGACCUUAACCUGCUAAAUAGCCAGGCCGGCUUCGGCUGGUCUCCGGCUUCUUAGAGGGACUGUCGGCGUCUAGCCGACGGAAGUUUGAGGCAAUAACAGGUCUGUGAUGCCCUUAGAUGUUCUGAGCCGCACGCGCGCUACACUAACAGAGCCAGCGAGUUCUUUUCCUUGGCCGGAAGGUCUGGGUAAUCUUGUGAAACUCUGUCGUGCUGGGGAUAGAGCAUUGCAAUUAUCGCUCUUCAACGAGGAAUUCCUAGUAAGCGUGAGUCAUCAGCUCGCGUUGAUUACGUCCCUGCCCUUUGUACACACCGCCCGUCGCUACUACCGAUUGAAUGGCUUAGUGAGGUCUCCGGAUCGGCUUCGGGGAGCCGGCGACGGCACCCUGUCGCUGAGAAGCCGAUCAAACUUGGUCAUUUAGAGGAAGUAAAAGUUGUAACAAGGUUUCCGUAGGUGAACCCGCGGAAG
rnacentral:rRNA from 1 species